rnacentral:rRNA from 1 species
GACGAACGCUGGCGGCGUGCCUAAUACAUGCAAGUAGGACGCACAGUUUAUACCGUAGCUUGCUACACCAUAGACUGUGAGUUGCGAACGGGUGAGUAACGCGUAGGUAACCUGCCUAUUAGAGGGGGAUAACUAUUGGAAACGAUAGCUAAUACCGCAUAACAGUAUGUAACACAUGUUAGAUGCUUGAAAGAUGCAAUUGCAUCGCUAGUAGAUGGACCUGCGUUGUAUUAGCUAGUAGGUAGGGUAAAGGCCUACCUAGGCAACGAUACAUAGCCGACCUGAGAGGGUGAUCGGCCACACUGGGACUGAGACACGGCCCAGACUCCUACGGAGGCAGCAGUAGGGAAUCUUCGGCAAUGGGGGGAACCCUGACCGAGCAACGCCGCGUGAGUGAAGAAGGUUUUCGGAUCGUAAAGCUCUGUUGUUAAGGAAGAACGAGUGUGAGAAUGGAAAGUUCAUACUGUGACUU